rfam:Rhodanobacter sp. Soil772 contig_3, whole genome shotgun sequence.
CACUCAUCGAGACCGGCUGAGGGACAGGCCCUUUGAAGCCGGGGCAACCUGCGGAGCGUUUCCGCCACGGUGCCAACUCCUGCGGAGGUGCUUCGGCAUCCACCGGAAGAUGGGCG